AGUUUGAUCCUGGCUCAGAUUGAACGCUGGCGGCAUGCCUUACACAUGCAAGUCGAACGGCAGCACGGGAGCAAUCCUGGUGGCGAGUGGCGAACGGGUGAGUAAUAUAUCGGAACGUGCCCAGUCGUGGGGGAUAACGCAGCGAAAGCUGUGCUAAUACCGCAUACGAUCUCUGGAUGAAAGCGGGGGACUCGUAAGAGCCUCGCGCGAUUGGAGCGGCCGAUAUCAGAUUAGCUAGUUGGUGGGGUAAAGGCCCACCAAGGCGACGAUCUGUAGCUGGUCUGAGAGGACGACCAGCCACACUGGAACUGAGACACGGUCCAGACUCCUACGGGAGGCAGCAGUGGGGAAUUUUGGACAAUGGGCGCAAGCCUGAUCCAGCAAUGCCGCGUGCAGGAUGAAGACCUUCGGGUUGUAAACUGCUUUUGUACGGAACGAAAAGGUCUGCCUUAAUACGGUGGGCCCAUGACGGUACCGUAAGAAUAAGCACCGGCUAACUACGUGCCAGCAGCCGCGGUAAUACGUAGGGUGCGAGCGUUAAUCGGAAUUACUGGGCGUAAAGCGUGCGCAGGCGGUUAUAUAAGACAGAUGUGAAAUCCCCGGGCUCAACCUGGGACCUGCAUUUGUGACUGUAUAGCUAGAGUACGGUAG
rnacentral:rRNA from 1 species